GACAUUUCUUUCAUCAGAAGAAUUCUUUCUGCAAGCCUGAGAUCUCAGACUGUAUGCAAUGAAGAACUUACCUGAAGCAGUCCAGAUUUUAAACAAAUAAUUCCAAUUCUUACAAUCCAUUCAGGUGCAGCAAUGGCUUCUUUGUGAGCUUGAUGAUUUCACUCUCAGUGGUUCAGGCCCGAUUGUUCUAGCUGCAUCAAUACUCAUUUUCAAGGGGAAUUAAGGGGAAUCCAUUCCUGACUUCAGAUUUUGGGUUCCGUGUUUUCCUUCUUUGAGGAAGAUAUGAAGGCAAGUCAUCAUACAGAUGAUUCUCUAAACAAACCAACCUGGAAACAAGAUGGGAUGACUCACAGUCCGGAGUUCCCAUUUCUCGCUCAGAGAAUCUGGGUGACAGCUCAGAAUAAACACAGAACUCCCAGACGGCUAUGGGUAGGUGAGCUAUUAAACACGGAGAUGAUAUUGUCAUCUGUCACAAACACGAAAACUUACUCCAACAACUGGCAGCACAGAUCCUAUCAUUUUAUGUGUGAAGGUUGUUUUCUUCAGGAGGAAAAAUCAAAUAUUUCCUUGAAAAAAAAUCAGUUUGUUUGCAAGCCUGGUUUCCUCAACCUCAGGAGAAAUCUACAGCCAGAAGAAACUUCCCAGUUUAUCAUUAAAACCUCUGCCUGGUGAGUGCAUAGGAUGAAAGUUUUACUUGUAGGUGGGAGUUCAGAUUCUUCACUCUGUUUAGUGUCUGUUGCUGUUUUUAGAUUAUAUUGAUGACUAAGGUUAUGUUUUUUUGGUCCAUGUGCUUGUUUAAGAGCACGUGAUAUGAUGGUUCCCCAGUGUCAGUGGAUUCAUACAGUGGCAGAUUCAAAAUAAUUUUAUGACAAAAGAACAAGCAACAAGCAGUCACAAUGUGAUCUGGAUCUGGACUGUGAAAUGAACUUUUGAUAUAAUAUAUUCUUGUCAUAUAGGUUGAUUUUUCAAACACACAAACUUUAAACAAAUAAAAUGUACUU
rnacentral:lncRNA from 7 species